rnacentral:lncRNA from 10 species
ACUUUACAAAGAGAUAGCAAAAUAUUUCUGUCAAGGUAACAACCAUUAAACUCGGAUGAUUAUCUUUCCAGAUAAGUAUAUAUGUCCCCUCUUCUACUUUGUAUAAAACUUGAAUCAUAUAGUAAAUAUAAUUCUGCAACUUGUUGGUUUUUUACUUAACCCUCUAGGUUAAACUUAUAUUCUUUUCUUUUUUUGAGAUAGGUUCUUGCUCUGUCACCCAGGGUGGAGUGCAGUGGCACGAACAAGGCUUACUGUAGCCUCAAGCAAUCCUCCCGACUCAUUUUCCUGGAUAGCUGGGACCACAGAGGGCCCCACCUCCUGGCAGACCAUUGAUACCGGGGGCUUACUGCGGCUGAACCCAUGGCAUGCUCUUUGCAGCACUUGACUGGACCUCCUGUCUGAUCCAUCAAUGGUCUACUGGAUGAAUGACUGCCUCCCCACCUCAUGCCCUCUCAAUUCUCACUAACCUUCCUGCCACUAAUGGCUCCUGACCACCGCUGCCCUGACGGCCCUCACCUGGCUGAUGGUGCUCAUGGCUCGCAUGUAGCUCUCAUUCCUGGAGCGGAACUUUGGUGAUGUG